ensembl:lncRNA
UUUUUUUCCAAACUGAAAUAGAUAAAUCUAUUUUGAAUUUUAAAAUCCUUUCACACUGGUUUAGAAAGCUGCUGGCAAUCCUGUAAAUGCUGUUUAAAAUGUUUUGGAUUACAGUGGAAACCUGUGUAUUUUUUCAGCUGAGAAGCUAUCUCCUUACCUGCUGAUUGCUGAUGAGGAUGCUGAUGACUGAAGAACAUCCAUCACUUGAAAACUGACAUUGAGACAUGUCACUAUAAUCUAUUAAAGGACUCCCACAGGAUAAAGAUAAAUUAAGUGAGUAAAUAGACACAGAGCAUCUUAGAUCCCCGACAAAACAUUUAAGCAAGCUGAUCUAUUUGACUUUAUUGCAGAAUAACUGUCAGGCUUCCCCAAGCAAUCCCUAGGCAUCAUCUGAACCCUUGAAGUCAGCAAAGCCAAGCUACUGUGAAAAGCGGUGAUUUGAAUUUCCCUACAAAACCUUUAUGUCAGUACCUAAGGUGUGGUACAUCAAAGCCCAAGAUACUCUCGGGUGGAGACAAUUCAUGCUGUAAAUCAGAAAAAAAAAAAAAAAAAAAAAAAAAAGAGAGAGUUCUAUAGGAAGAGCAACAAAGAAAAUAGAUCAAGAAUGAGAGAACUGAGAGUAAAGAGUUUCCUGAAAUACUGAGCAUGGCUGAAUUGGCUAAUAUCCUUGAUGACUGUCAGUAAGUCGGGACACCAGGGCCCAGACAGAUGGAGGAGGACCAUGUAGUCCUGACUGAGUCUGCGUGUUUAGGAGGUGUCCCUCAGAAGAUGGCUCAAACCAGAGCCUCAAAGAAAAUCCUCAGUGCUCAUCAAGUCUGCUAUGGCUGAGAUACUCGAGAAGCGAGGUGAUACGACUGUGAAGGACCACAUUUAUUUAAAGUCAUUCAGUAGACUGUGAGCUUGGGUGAAACCUGUUUGGAAGACCAAGCAGAUAAAACUGCAAACUGGUGAAAUGUAAAGAGGCUGUUUAGCUACCUGGUUCUGCUCAUUUUGGAAGCACACUCUGCAUGGCAGAGAAGUUACUUUCCUCAGUCCGAAUAUGCACAGGGACACCCCACCCGCCUUGCAAUACAGCUGUGCAAGCAUCAAGGACACUCAGAGCUCUAAGACAUACACUUGCAAUGUUUGUGUUAUGCUUACUUUGGGCAUAUACAGACAGUAACUCACUAGUAGGUUUCUACUCUUUUAGCAAUCAUUAGUGAGUACAGGUGGGAGAGCCCAGUCCCUACAGCAGAGAGACAGCUCAGAUGUAGGUGGGUGUCCAGGACAUCCCUCAAAGUGACUCUUGGCAGAAAUGAAAGCCAAGAGUGCAGAAGACUGUCAGUUACAAAGUGUUGGGCUACUGUUGGCACCCAAUGUUCCUCCCAAGCCCUGCCGGGCUCCUCCCCACCCGCCCAUAGCCCUGGGCCCCAUACAUCAGCCUGGAUCCAUCAGUCAGGAAAGGUCCCGAUCAGGUACCUUGCUCGAGGAAACUUACCUUCAUCAGAUCUCAGAUGGCAGCAGCUGUGGUAACAAUUUCAAAUACUUAAAAUAUUAGAAAAUGUAGUAAAAUUUUCUGCCUGAUUUACCAGUAGUUGUGCAGUGUUUUCAGGGGGUGUUUCUUAACAGCAUGUAGAAGAGGAAAUCACACACACACACACAAAAAUCCCUAAACAUUAUAAACCACAAAGUAUGGCAAUUUGUCAGAACAAGAUGUGAAAUAGGGGCUUCCUUCCAAUUCAUCCCAGUACCAAGACGAAUGUGAACAGCUGUCUGUAACUCCUGCCUGGGCAGGAGGUUGGGUGACUGGACCAUCCAGCAAGAGGAUCAACAAAAAAAGCCUUUAGGCUUUGGGCUUCACUGAGGACAAUGAAGGAAGGACAAAGAAAAGCCAACUAAUACCACCAAAAUACAGCAAAGGAAACUACAAUAACGUUUCCUGUAAGCAGAGCAGAGUUCAAAUACAUGCUCCGACUUUGACUGAUGAACCUCAUGGCCAGCAAGCAAGCAGCCUGAUAUGACCUGUUCCACCAGUAAUGCCUACAUGAUCUUCUCCAUACAGCCAAGUCCAGCAGCUAAUAAAUGAUGUGGGAAGCCUGCCCAUACAGAAGAUAAUUCCAGGAGAUGGAGAGAUCAGGUUUUCCCAGAACAUUUCUAUAGUCAGCCCAGAGGCUGUUUUUCUGUUGUUCAGCUAGAACAUUAGUUAUCUCUCAUCUGUAAAUCAGCCGCUAUAUCCUGUAAUGACCUUUUACUGCGUGGUUUUCUUCUAUUCACCCACUUGUUUCACGAAUUGGGUUUGUGGGUUUUCUCUUUAUUUUUUUAAUAGGUAAUGUAAGAGUGAAGCUCCUCUGAGAGCAGAAGAGUGGAUGAUUUCCGUGCUAAAGCUUUAGUAAAUUUUCUAAAACAAUUUUCACAGUCAUAUCAAACCCAAAACUGCAUUAAAUUGCCAAAAGCAGCAAAGAGCCUGACAAUUGACGUUUGCAUACCAAAACUUGCCAAGUAUAAAUUUAAGCAGUCCUCCUUUCACAGAAAACUUGUGUAAGCAUUUUGUCCCAAUCACUUUUCUUCUGCCAGGGCGCUGAUAUCUAACGGCUCGUCUACUUUUUACUCCCACCUAAGCUUGGUCCUGACAAUGAGAAGUGCAAGUAUCAGACACCAGUUCUGGGACUGCAGACAGCAGCACCUUGCCCUUGUUCCACAGCUUUGAGAAGCAAAUCUCUUACCUCUGACAACUACAAACUUGAUAGAGUGAGUAGGAAUAAAAUAUCCAUGAUAGCUGAUGUGCACAUCAGUGCAGUUGUCUGUCUGUUACAGAGAUUCUCAGAUAUCCAUGAGUCUGCACAUACGUGGGCAUGCAUGGGGUCCUACAAGGAAAUCUUCUGUUGUCCUCACAGAUAAAUAACCCACCUAUUUCUUCCAGUUUUUAAUAUAAUAAACUAUAUGUAGUCAAAGUUUGAUUUAAACUUUAACCAUGAAGAUUUCCUUUUAAAACUAUUGAUAUUCAGCAGCUUAUGACCAAGCUCAACUGGGCUCAGCAUCAGCUUGACAUGCCUAUACUCACAAAGACCUCAGUUUAGGAGCCAUGAAGUAAAAUGAUGGCACUGAAAACGUAAACGGGGUUGUCCUGCAGAGCCCGAGAAGUAUGUUUAGCCAGUGUACAAGUUCCUUGUUGAUAAAGGUUAUGGUCAAACCAAAAGUGUUUUCAUAUUGUGUUUUAAGCAUACGGAUGCAUCACUAAAUAAAUGUUGUGCUGCAGCUACAUGGUUAUGCUGUGAUCCCUUUGGCCAGGUUUUGUAAAGCUCAUAGUGAAGGCCGAAAGCAAGAGACUGCCACCAUUUUUUAACUCUGUGGCACUCAUUAGGCAGCUGAAAAAAAGAAACUGUGGACUGCUGACUCCCAUUCAAGUUGGGAAACCCCAAUUAACAGCAUAACAAACCCGGGGAAGACUUCCUCAUUAAUAACCAGUAAUGACAACCAGGGAGCUAAACUGGUUCCCAGGGGUUCCAGGAACCCAGGAGUUUCCCAGAAUUGCUACCCUUUUGCCCACUAACAUUUUCCUCAUAAAAGUUAGAUCAUCUGGCACAAGCAUAUACAAGAAUAAAUUUCAAGUG